CCCUGGUGGCUCAGAUGGUAAAGAGUCUGCCUGCAAUGCAGGAGACCUGGGUUCAAAUCCUGGGUCAGGAA
rfam:TPA: Bos taurus chromosome 13, whole genome shotgun sequence.